rnacentral:lncRNA from 1 species
AGACAAGGUCAUCUAUGCUGGAGUGCAGUGGCGUGCUCUCGGCUCACUGCAACCUCCACCUCCCGGGUUCAAGCAAUUCUCAUCUCACCUUCCUGAGUAUCUGGAGUUGCAGCGUGAGCCACUGCGCCUGGCUAAUUGUUUUGUAUUUUUAUUAGAGUUAGGGUUUCACCAUGUUUGCCCGGCUGGUCGCAAACUCCCGGCUCCAAGUGAUCCGCCCGCCUUGGCCCCCAAAGUGCUGGGCUUGCAGAUGUGAGCUACUGUGCGCAGCCUUUAUAAACAAUUUUGAUAUAUGGUGAAAUUUCUCAAAGCUUGCUGAUCAUAGUGAAUUAUGCUGAUAAGAAUGGGAAACAAGAUUAUUGGGAAUAAAUUGAAAAAUAUUAAAUAGGUUUUUAUGCGUCAAGGGUAAAAAAAAUGUGUUUUGAGUAAAUGAUCUGAAAUACAGCAUGCUUUUUUGGUAAAAGCUUAGUAUAAUGUAGGGUGAAGUUAAGGCGUUGGCGAUAACCAGAAUCAUAAUUCUCAUUUUAAAUAAUGCUAUGCUACAUCUGCACAAAAUAGAUUAUGUAUAUUUUUGGCUGCUGUACCAUGAAAAUGAUGACUAAAACGAGGUCUAGAGAGGGAUAGUUUAAAAAUGAUGGGAAUUUUGCCUCCCCCUUUCCUUUUCCCAAAAAUACUAUUAGCUUGCCUAAUUUAACCUUUCACUUUUUUUAUCCCCAUCUUCCCCCACAAAAGAAAGGAAUAGAAAAGAAAAAUACGAAAGUGAAGAAAUAAGAACCUGCUCUAAAGUUAUUUCUUGGUCUGGGUUUCUUUAUGGAUCAUCUCUUAAUUAGCUUAAAAACAUUUGAUUGAAACCUAUUUUGGAAGUAUCUAUGGAAAGAAUUAAUCAUUACCUGAAAUACGUCUUUUCAUUCUUUUUCCUUGUUAUGUUGUAGUGAAAUUAUCACAAAGAGCAGAGAGUAAAUGCUGCUAACAGUUGGUGUAUAUCAAAUGUUUGUUUCUUUCUUGAGACUGAGUGCGUGUGUGUGUGUGUUAGAAUCGGGACUAUGUAACAAUAACUAUAGCAAAAUAUCUCUUAGUCCUAAGUUUUGGAAACCAGCUGAUUCUCUUAUUUACUGGUCUCUGUGCUAGGCUAGCUCCUCUCUCCCUUAGGUUUCCUGGCUACCUCGAGAGGAUCUGAAAUAAUAGUCUUGGAUGAUGUAUCAGUAAGGGUUUAACCAGAGAAGCAGAGCAAGUAGAUUUAUAUAUGAUUGUUAUGUAUUAAGAGAUUUAUUACAAGGAAUUUGGCUUACAUGAUUGUGAGGGCUGGCUAAGCAAGUGUGAAAUCUGUACGGCAGGCAGUUAGUGGGAGAAGAUUGUGGGCAAGGUGGAAUCCAUGGGCUUAGGCUGAAGCUGUUCUCCAUAGGCAGUCAGGAAGGGAAGAUACAGCGAAGAGAGAACAAUUGUAGACUCAGCUGCUGUUUGGAGUCUCAUUUGCUCGGAAGAACCUGAUCUCUUUUAAGAGCUCACCUGACUAGGUCAGGCUCACUGAGGAUGAUCACCCUGGCUUAAAGUCAGUUGAUUAGGAACUUCAAUUACAUCUGCAAAAUCCCCUCACAGCAGUACCUAGAUUAGCAUUUGACUGAAUAAUUGAGAGAAGGUAUUUGUGCUACAAAAUGUCUGCUGUCCUGUCUUCUUUCUAAGAAGAAACCAUUACAGGUGGAAAAGCAACACUCUUAACUUGAUCUUUGCUACUACCUGACAGAGAACCCUUGAACUCACAAAGUUAUUUCCUGGUAUUUAGAGCACAGAAGCAGCUGCCUUUUCCAUCCUGGGAGGCCCCAAAUUACUGGACUCUUGUAGGUCGGAGUUUGCCACUGAGAAAGCUUCUUUUUAGUAGCACUGUUUUCAUGUCUGUCUCUGCUUGCAAACUGCUUUAUAGGUGAAUUGAUCUUUCUUGUUGAUCUUUAAAUAGCCAACACACCAUAUUUCGAGUUUUUCUAACUGCUUUUCUUAGAACUACAAACUUAGUAGGCAUAUGAUGUGCCCUUCCAAUUAUUGCAGGCAAGAGUUUUACUAAAUGUUCUGCAACUGUAUAGCACAGAUCAUUAGAUCUCCAGCCUGAGAUGUUUCCUUGCUACCUGUUCUCUAAGCCUUACCAGAGAUUUUAGGAGUUUGUUAGAGCAGCGUGUCAUUUCCAAUUAACUGUAUUAGUUAAGUUUUUUGCCUUAACUGACCUAAUAUGUUAGCAUGGUUUGGUAUCUUAGAAGGCAGUUCUCACUCAUUGAGCUUCUUUCUCAAGAGUUUUGGAUAUUGUUCAUUUAACAUGUCAGACAUGCUUUAGAAUCAUCUUUUUCUUAUAUGUUGUGUUUUUAACCUUAUUGGCCACUGAAAUGUUAGAAAGAAGUUAGAAUUCUAGUACAGAAGUACUUUUAUGAAGAAAAUAUAAGCAAUGCCAGCAUCUAUAUAGUGUUCUUACUGAUUUGAUGAUGCCCUUAGGUUGUCUUUGAACUUGAAAAUCUCUAUACAUUAUUAUUGCAGGACCUAUAAACUAUGACUGUUGUGUAGUUCUCUUGCACUAUCUUUCCAAUGUUCUUUGAAGAACUGUUUCACUGUUUAUUUUAUCUAUUUCAAAUGAACUAGGAGUAAUUUAAAACUUACAUAGUUGCUGUUCAGAAAAUGUCAAAAAAGAAGAGCUUGUAUAAGAUACAAUGUAGAUAAAUUUAAUUCUAUUGAGGGGGUAAUAUCCUUUUAAGAUACAAUGUAGAUAAAUUUAAUUCUAUUGAGGGGGUAAUAUCCUUUAAACCAAACUUGUCUAAAGUUUUCACCAAAUGUUAAACUGUGAGUAAUGUUUUCUUUUUAUUUAUCCAUUUGAUUUUUUUAUAUUGGAGGAAUCUUAAAAUUGCAGUAUCUUUUUCCACUUUUAUUAAAUCAUAUAGUAACUGUGAACUGAAAAUUUAAACAGUAGAGGAAGAUACAGAGUAAGAGUUGAAGAUUUUUUAUAUCCCUAGGUGUAAAUUAUCUGUAUGAAUACCGUCUUACUCAAAUUUAUGUAUAGUGACCUAUCCCCAAGUAGGAUAACCAGAGAGAAAUGAUGGAGUAAGGAGGGUUAUGGAAGACCUCCUUACUCCAAAACACUUUACCUGAAUGUAGCUAGUUAAUACUGCUCUGUUUUAUUUCAUCUUGUUUCCCUAACUCCUGUCUUGGGAACAUUCAUGGAUUAAUCUUGGGAUGGAUUUCAUAGGUGGAAUAAAUGGGAAUGUCACUCUUCAAUAUUUCUGAAACAUCAAAUCAAAAUACAUACCUUGUAGAUUACCUCUUACAGUAAGUGCUCAAAAUGUGAAGUGGGAAGAAUGCUGUUUUAGACCCUCCUAUACCUCUUAAUUCAUGCUGUUAGUGCCUCUAAAUAAGAUGACAUUUUAUCCGAUGGACUAAGGACCAAGUAUAGAAACUAGUUUGUCCUUAAGGUGGAAGUCAUGUGAUCAAGGAGAGCUACAACUACUGGAGGCAAGGUCCCCUAGACCUCCAUUUUGUGUCUGUGUGUGUGUGGUGUGUAUUUCUUUCUGUUGGUAGAUAUUUGCUUUCAAGUGGAGGACAAAUGUGUUGCUGACGAGGUUGAAAGUGCUGUAUCAUCAAUAGAUUUAACCUAUUUAAAAUCAAAAACAUUGAAAUAAAUAUUCUUCUACAUUUCUCGAAGCAUGUUCAACUGUCUUAUUUUGGCAGUUCUGGUGAAGGCUUAAUCAUUCUUAUUUUUAAAUGUAAUCAUCAAAAUUAGACCUGGAAUCUAUGCCAAGAAACUGAGAUAGAAACUGUUUAGUGCUUUUUAUGUUCAUAAAAAUUGUUUAUGUGUGGCCCUGUAUUCUUGUACAUUAGAUUUUUUUAAUAUGAUGGAUUACUUUAGAAUUUCAUGCUUUAAAAAGAGUAAUUUGAACAUAAAUGUAGAAGGCAAAGAAAUAAAUGUAUCCAGCAGUAUUUUAUUUAGUGAGAAUAUACCCAAAUAUUUCCCAAACAAUUCUGGGUCUUUAAAAUACUAAAUUCUGGCAGAAGCAUCUUUUCACAACUUACUACCAGGUUAAAAAACCCAUUAAAUAUUGGGGGGAAUUUGUAUUUUAUCAGAAGGAGAUUUUUUUUUAAAGGGUAGAUCAUUGGACUCCCCAUUCUUCUCUCUUCUCCACCUGUAUAUCAGCUGUAUAUAUAUAUAUAGACUCUGCAUUGUGGUUGGGUUUUUUUUUUUUAAAUAAUCAAUUGAAGUUCUUAAUUUGUUGGAGAAUUUAUGUGUUUUUUUUGAUAAGGAUUUUUUAAAUUUUUUUUGAAGUUAGAUGAGAGGAGGUGUAACUUUGAUUUGUGAUUCUUGAAAAGUAGAAAUGAUGAACUAAGAAUAAAUCUGGAUACAUGAUUUAAAACUAAUAUUGAUUUCAGAUCUGGAUUUUUAGUAGACUUGUGUCAGUAACACUUUAUAUUUGUAGGGAAGCAGGCAGUCUCACUCACUGUCAGUAUAAAUUAGUUCAACUUUUUUAGAAGGCAGUUAAUUGGGAUGGCUUGGUAAGAGUGCAUUUUUUCAUAUUCAAAGUUGUAUAAGGAAGAAAUUUGAC